CCUACGGGUGGCAGCAGUGAGGAAUAUUGGUCAAUGGCCGGAAGUCUGAACCAGCCAUGUCGCGUGCAGGAAUACGGCCCUAUGGGUUGUAAACCUCUUUUGUCCGAGGGCAAACCUGUAUACGUGUAUUCAGCUGGAAGUUCUGUACGAAUAAGGAUCGGUCAACCCCGUGCCAGCCGCCCGGGUUAUACGGAGGGUCCAAGCGUUUUCCGGUUUUUUUGGGUUUAAAGGGUGGGUAGGGGGGAUGAUAAGAUCGGGGGGAAAUGUUCGGGCGUAAGUCGGGACGUGCCGCUAAUACUGUUGAUCUAGAGAGUGUAUGCAGUAGGCGGAAUGUGUGGUGUAGCGGUGAAAUGCUUAGAGAUCAUACAGAACACCGAUUGCGAAGGCAGCUUACCAAUCUACAACUGACGUUGAGGCACGAAAGCGUGGGUAGCAAACAGGAUUAGAUACCCUUGUAGUC
rnacentral:rRNA from 1 species